rnacentral:lncRNA from 1 species
UUUUUUUUUUUUUUUGUGUUUUGGAUAUUUUAAAGUGUGUAGGUUAAAAACUUUGAUAAGUUUUUAGAGUUCCUGUAGCAAAAGUUAUUAAAAAACUAGUAUCAUACAAACUUGGCUAAAAAUCAAGGUUCCAAACAGGCCAUUCUUCAAGCAAAUUACUCUUCAAAACUGCUUCUAAAACUCUCUCUCUCAAAGUGAAGGACGCAAUACUUACCUACCCUAUCUACAAAAGUUGGAUUUACGACAGGAAAAAAGAAAACGUCAAUUAUCACCAAACUUGAGGGAGGGCAAAAGCCUUAAAAGGAAAGUCCACUUGAGAAAAGUUACAUGCUGAGAAAGGCUACUCAGGAAGUUCUUAAAUUGCAAGCCAAAGAUCACAAACAAUUGGUGACAUGGCAAUAAUCCAUCUUAAAAUUAGUUGACUCGGCAUGCAUUGCUUGUUUUGCUAAUUUUUACAACAGGUUAUGCAAUAAGCAACACAACGAGCCAAAAGGUUAAUAUAUAGUGCCAAACCUGACAUUUCCAUUGAUGUCCCUAUCUUUCACAUGAAUCCCGUCUGCUUGAAGAUCCGAGCAAUCUUUGCUGCCAAGGUACCUUCUAGUUCUAGCGGUAAGGAAACAUGUAUGAGAAGUCAAGCAUCUAUCAUGCAAAUGUUGAGAGGACCAUUUAUAAUGCCCAGUCUUAUCAUAUAGGACAAGUGCAGGUGAGUGAAAACUCGAUCAAACUCUGGUUUUUCCUUUUGUCAAGUCAACAUAAAAUGGGGAAAAAAUAGGGAACUUGUUGAACAUCCGACCGACAAAAAACAGGUCUUAAUUUCAAAGAUUAAAACAGCGAUCCUGUUCCUAUAUGUGAUUAUAGAUCCUAUAUUCAAAAUGUCUUGGUCACUUCUAUGCCAUUUUGAGGUUAAUAGUAUAGAAAACCUUCAACAGUCGAGAAAAUAUGAAAUAUUAAGUUGCUUUAAUACUAAAUCCUACACAAUAUGUUUUGCUCAGUGUGGAGAGGACAAUUGUGGACAAAGGUUUCUGUGGCACACUCACUCUCUAGACUCCAAAUGUAGAUGAAAGGGAAUGAAUACGAAGAGAGGAUAUUAUAAAACAUACCUCUAGAGGACCGCUCUUAGAGGAUGACUAAUAUGCAUAUCCUGAGUAACAAUAACAGCAUCUUCAUCACAGCCUUCUUAUCCUUGUGCCCUCUGUGUGUGUAGGGAUGGGGAUUAUUGGCAAUAAAAAAGGGAUGCCACGGGCGGAGGAGAUGGCAGAGUGGCAAUAGCAAUACUAAUGGAGAACACUGAAAAAGACAUCAGGAAGAAAACAAUACAACUGCGUGAAACAGUUCAGUCAAAAUGCAAAGGGAGAAAUCACCGCUGUUGUCGAGCAGCUAGUGUAAAUAUGAUAGAAGGCUAAGAGUUGAGAUCAAUGGUACUUUCAUUUUUGAGACAUUUAGUCAAAAAUUAUGAAAGUUUCAGGGUUGAGGCUGAUCCAAGAAUCAGGCAAUAGCCUGUUAGAAUUUAUAAGUGGCCAUUUCAACCCAAUUUGACGAUUUCAUUUUCGUGACUUCCAAGUUCCAAACUGCAAUCAUCUCUUUUUGACAAUGAGUUUGGAUUUUUCCACAAAUGAACCUAGCACUUGCAAGUCAUAAACCAACAAAUUUGAAUGGCUUGCAAGUCAUAGGUCAACAAAAUUUUUAAUGACGGUUAUCAUUAAUUUUCUUAUUCAUGCAAAACUGUUAAUAAAAUUUAAAAAGGCAGCACACAACCAGAGUGAAUAGAUAUAUAUAUAUAUAUAUAUAUAUAUAUAUAUAUCACAAGCAAUUUCAAAUGUUUGUUUCCUAAAUGAUGUUGUAACCUGAUAGUAUCCUCCUCCUAGAAAUGCAAUUUGAAACGACUGAAAACAACAAAGUUGCUUGCAUUUCCCUAAUAAAAGAUCUCUUCCUGAAAAGAAACAAGGAUGAGAUUGACUGGCCCUAUAGCAUAUCGUAAAUUAUCAGUGAUAAAUAUCAAUUACGUAUCUUCAGAAUUACAAUUUCUUCCUAACCUUCUCAACUACAAAAGUUCCAACACUCUGCACAAUAAACGUUCCAAUUAAAAUAAACUUUUGAUGAUCAUUAGCAAGUAUCCCCAGAAUCCCAGAAUCCAAAACCUCAGCAAGAUAUUUCUCAAAAGCUUUGACAACCUUUCUCGGUAAACGUCCUUUAGGUUUAAAAAGUUCAACGCAAUGGAAAGUUCAGAGGGGAGGUCAGGUGGCCUGGCUAUGCUACCAAAGAAAUCCAUUAAUAUUUCUUUGAUAGCAUACGACGGGGUUUAGUUUAAAAGCCAUGGAGCUUAACAGGAUAGGUGUUAGAGAUAUCCAAGUUUUGUGUCUGAAUAAAUGUCAAAUCUUUGUGACACUUUACAGAAAAGGAAUUUCACGGACUAAGAUAAACAUCAAACAAAUAUUAACAAAACCAUUCCACAUAAGAUGUCUCUCGGAUAACUCUAUGAAAAACCCUUAGGGUUUGUUUGGUUUAUGGAUUGAAUGAGAUGGGAUUACUUAUCCGAUUAUUAAUUCUGGACUGAAGUAUCCUCAAAUUCAUAAUUCAAGUUAUGUAGUGUUUGGUUGAUCAUAGGUUGGAUAGGAUAUAUUGAGAAAUAAUCUUACCCUAUAUUUGGUUAAACAUUAGAUGAGAUGGAAUUAUUAUUUUAAUAACCAAAGUAUUCCUUAAUUUGUAGGACUUUUUUAAUAAAAUAAUUUAUAAAUUUAUAAAUUUAAUUAAAGUAAAGUAAUUUGAAACUUUAGAAUAGAGUAAAUCAAGGGUUUUCAUAUAUAAAAAUUUGCAUUCAUUCAAACUCAACCCAUUCGGACCCUUAAAAAUAGGUUUUAACCUAGUUUUUUAAUCUAAAUUGAAAUUCAAUUAAACAAUAGGUCGAGUUUUGGCUAAGUUAGGGUUAAAUUGAAUAAAUUUCAACCCAUUAAGAGUUUUAAAUGAGCCAAGUUCAAGCCAAUAUAGAAGAUUUUUCUUUGGACGAAGUUUAAGUUCAUUGAAACACUAGUUUGCCAAGCCUAAUUGAUAAGGUUAUGUAUUUAUAUAGAAUUUGGGUGAGAAAAUAAGGUUUGUAAGGACAAUUUAGUCCAAGGGCAAUAUAGUCCAUUUAUUAUGAUGUAAGUAGGGACAAAUUAAUCAAAAAAAAUUUAAAUUAAUUGAAAAUUUUGCCAAAUUGGUCCCCAACAUUUGCAAAAAAAAAAAAAAAAAAAAAAAAAAACUUUUUUAGUUCCUAACAUUUAAAAUCAGCCAAAAUAGUUCCUAGUAUAUAAAUUAUAUACUAGUUUGGUCCUAAUGCUUGUUUUUGCUCAUUUUUCCGACUAAAAAUUGCACACCUUUCUCAUGUGGGUAUAAUUUCAAGGGCAAAAUCGAAAAAUACACUUCGUUCCUAGUUGAGUUUUUCCUCUUUCCUUUAUAUUUCUUAAACUAAACCCUAAUUGCCUCACAUACAAAUCACAAUCGAAGAAGAAAAACUCAUCGACAACUGGAUGACUGUGCAAUGGAGGAAGAAUAGGAAGAAAAUGCGCAGAAGAAGCUAACCAAUUAAAGAGUACAAUGGAUCCAAACAAUGAGCAAUGUCAUUGUGGCAAGGAACCCAUUAUUGUGACUUCAUGGAGACCAGCAAAUUUGAGAAGGAGAUUCUAUAGCUACCCAAAUUUGUUUGCCAUCUGCCAUGUUCCUACCAGGAAUCAAGUAAUAGUAGCCUACAGUAUAAUGUUCAUAUUCAAGUUUAUUUGCUAUUUCAACCAGUUUACAUAGAGACCAUCUUUUCGAAUCACAACUAUCAACUAUGUCAACCAAACCCCCUGUAUAGUCUCUAUUUUGGGUAUCCCUAAAUUCACCUUCAAAGUGUAUGCAAAUAGAAAAACGCAUCUCAUUAGUCCCUGUCAUCUAUUAAAAUGACAAUUACUUUGGGAUCAUGAUAGAAGGGUGGAACCUUUGAUAAAAAAUUAUGGACCACAGCAUAAAUUAAUAAAAUAAUGAACAUUCUCCAAUUAAUUAAAGUAAAACACAGUCUUAAGCAAGAUUUGGCCACGACAAUAUCUUUAUUAAAUACAUUGGUAAAAAAAACUCAUCAUAAUGCAUUGUCAAUUUCCACUUUCUCGGUUUCAUUUUGCAUCUUUUUGAGGAUUUUAUUCAAGAUUUUUAGAUCAAAACUUCAAUCAUUCCUCUAUCAUAUGCCUACACCUUUCUUGUUGUCAUCAUCAUCAACAAAAUUCUUGAGGUUAUGCUUCUUAAUUAGGGGAUGGAGGGAAUUAGGGUUUCUUGUGACAGUAAAUUGAGAGGAACGGUGAUAAAAAAGGGUGGUCAUCUCAUGCACUUUUGCUUUAGGAGGGAGUCGAAAUGUGUUUUUCAGUUUUGCCCUUGAAAUUAUGCUCAUGUGAGAGAGACGUGUGAUUUUUAGUUGAAAAAAAUGAGUAAAGACGAGUAUUAGGACUAAACUAGCACGGAAUUUAUAUGCUAGGGACUACUCUGACUAAUUUUAAAUGUUAGAGAUUAAAAAAAAAUUUUUUUUUACAAAUAUUAGAGACCAAUUUGACAAAAUUUUCAAAUUAAUUAAUAGAGGUAAAUUUGUCAAAAAAAUUUUAAUUUAAUUAAUAGGGGCAAAUUAGUCCAUUUAUUACUACAUUAUUAUGUGAGAGUAUGGUUAUAUAAUAUUCAGUAUAAAUUUGUAUCAUUUGUUAGGGCAAUUUAGUUCAAAUAUUGUUAUGUUUAUAGCGGGGACAAAUAAGUCAAAAAACUUUAAAUUAAUUAGCAAGGGCAAAUUAAUCCAUUCAUGUUAUAUUAUCGUGUGAGGAUAAGGUCAUAUAAUUAUGAGAGUAUAAAUUUAUAUUAUUGAUAAGGAUAAAUUAGUUUAAAAAUUCAUCAUUCUAUCUUUUAGUUAUUCGGAGAUGACUAAUACUACCUCAACCAUGGGAUUAUUUUAUUAAUGUCAUCCUGAGAUAACUAAUAUCACAUUGUCAUAGAAUUAUUUUAUCCCAUAAAUAAGGGAUUAAUUCCAUUAAUUAGAACGUGUCAUCUCAUGUGUAAAAUGCAACCAAAGAUGAGAUGACACAAGAUGAUUAAUCCAAUUCUAUAUCAUCCCAUGAACCAAAUGGACAUUUAGGUUUUAUCCCAUAAUAUAUUUUAAAGUAAUUACAAACAUCUUUAUAAAACCUCUGCAAAUAAGCUCAUAACCUCUAUAAAACCUCAUAAGCUCAAAAUACUAUAUGGUAAUUUCUUUGGGCUUCCUUUUCUUUAAUGCAUUUAGCCACACCUCUUUUCAACUACCUAAUCUUUCUCUCCUAUCCUUUCUUUUUAUGCUCAUGUUCACAUUCAUCAUAUCCAUGAAAACAGGCUUUAACAGUUGAUUUCUUCAGAUAAAGCUCAAGCUUUUUUCUUCUCCAUGUCUUCAGAGACCACCAGAUGAGCUACCAUCAGAAUGUAAAAAAAGAGUUGAUUACGUUGGAGGGCUGCUCAAUUGGAAGAUAUAAAAAAAGAAAAUGGCGUGGAACAUCAGAAUGGCUCAAAAAGAAUAAAUGAAAAGGCAAAAAGAGUUGAUUACGUUGGAGGGCUGUUCAGAGAUUGGUUGGGACAUGUGAAGGGGGAUUUGUUUUUUGACACGGUUCCUAACAUAACCAAUACACUUCAAACAGAAUUAAUAGCUAUUCGACUUGGGUUGGAGCAAUUCUUGCAACAAUUCUUGGAAUUAGAUUUUGAUGAAAAACAGGAAUACACAAGAUUAAUUAUAGAAUGUGAUAACUUUAGAGCUGUAAGGAUUGCCAACCAUGAUCCAGAUGCUGUAAGGAUUACCAAUCAUGGUCCACAUACGAAUGGCAAUGUUCAUAAGCAUGGGCAGAUGUAUCUGAUAUAUUAGGAUGCUUAUGAGUAAGUUUCUCCUCUCUCUUUCAAUGUGAUUCUUUCAUUACUUGUUCCUUUAUUUCUAACCUGUUGUGAAUUGUUGUCGUACAACAACAUUCAUUUUGGCAUUGAAUGGAGCAAGAUUUUGGAAUUGAAUGAAUGUCACUCGUAACCUUAACGUCUUGUUUGCUGUGUAUUGUUGUUGUACAGCGACAUUUUGGCAUUGAAGAAGCGUAUAGGAGAAGAAAUGUGUGUUGAGAUUGAGAUAACACAUUGUAAGCGAGAAGAAAAUAUGGCAGCUCAUCUGGUGGUUUCUAAAGGCGUAAAGGAGAAAAAACUUGAAGCUUAUUUGAAGGAAUCAGUUGUUAAAUUUGCUGAAUUGGAUGAAAAUUAGUAUAAAAAGUAUAAGAAUAAAAAGAAAGCAUGGGAGAAAAGGAUUGGACAGUUAGCGAGAAGUAUAGCUAAAUACAUCGAAAAAGAAGAAGUGCAAAAAAGUUACCACAUAUCAUUUUGAGCUUACGUGUUUAUGGGGGGCUUAAUAGAGGUUUUAAAUUACUACGUACAUACAUUGAAUGGAGCAAAACCUUGGUUCAACCCCCAACAGCUGAAGGAAAUGCUCGAUUUUGAUUUUAUUCUUUUUGUAGGCACUCUUGCUUCAUCACUUUCACUCGAAGCAAGACUGCAGGAAACCAAGAGGUUUGACAAGGUUCUUGCGCUUGUUGGCCACAAAGAUAUAAUUUACCAACAAACCACUUGUUUCCAGAAGAACUUAGAACUCCAACAUCUGGGAUUUCAGCAAGAAGAAAUCUGUCAGCAAAUUCAGACAAUGUAGAAGUGUCAGGCGACCAAGAGAUGAAGGUGUAGCACACCCAAAUGAAUUACUUGACAAUUCCAAUAAGGUCAGGAGAGAUACAUUCCCAAUACUUGAUGGAAUCCCUCCUAGAAGAUUGUUAGCUCUCAAGUAUAGGGCUCUGAGAUCAGAAUGAUUGGGUAAUGGCAUUGGGGAUAAUACAUGCAUUGGUGAAAUGCCAGUCUUUGCAAUCUUACCAAUACUGAUAGAUAUAAUCCCUCUAAGUUGCAUAUAGGAUAAGUUUAUAGACAUGGCACUUUGGUGGAUGACAAGAAAUGCCAGUCCAUCUAAAUGGAGAAUCAUCAGAAGAAUUCCAUUUAAACUAUUAUUUGGCCAUGACUGCAAGUUCUCUAUUCAAGCCAUUUCAGAAAACAAAACGAAUCAAAAGCAAGUGAGAGUUUUGAAAUCUUUUUGAUCAAUAAAACUGAAACAGAAGAUCCAGCAGAUAAAUAUCGAAAAAUAGUAAUCAGAAAAAGCUUGUGGGUCAUCAUUUUCCGAGCUGAGUUAAAUGAAUUUAGCGUUUCAAGAACUUAUUUUCUUUAUAUUGGGUGGUGCAGUAAUUAAAGACGAGAAAGAAGAAUGGUGAAGAUGAUGAGGCCAAGAACAAGUCCGAAGAGAAGGCACAAAAAAUGCAAACAUCACACCAUACAGAAUGCCCAGAAUAGUUUGCCAUCUGCCAUGUUCCUACCAGGAAUGAAGUAAUAGUAGCCUACAGUAUAAUGUUCAUAUUCAAGUUUGUUUGCUAUUUCAUCCAGUUUACAUAGAGACCAUCUUUUCGAAUCACAACUAUCAACUAUGUCAACCAAACCCCCUGUAUAGUCUCUAUUUUGGGUAUCCCUAAAUUCACCUUCAAAGUGUAUGCAAAUAGAAAAACGCAUCUCUUUAGUCCCUGUCAUCUAUUAAAAUGACAAUUACUUUGGGAUCAUGAUAGAAGGGUGGAACCUUUGAUAAAAAAUUAUGGACCACAGCAUAAAUUAAUAAAAUAAUGAACAUUCUCCAAUUAAUUAAAGUAAAACACAGUCUUAAGCAAGAUUUGGCCACGACAAUAUCUUUAUUAAAUACAUUGGUAAAAAAAAACUCAUCAUAAUGCAUUGUGAAUUUCCACUUUCUCGGUUCAUUUUGCAUCUUUUUGAAGAUUUUAUUCAAGAUUUUUAGAUCAAAACUUCAAUCAUUCCUCUAUCAUAUGCCUACACCUUUCUUGUUGUCAUCAUCAUCAAUAAAAUUCUUGAGGUUAUGCUUCUUAGUUAGGGGAUGGAGGGAAUUAGGGUUUCUUGUGAUAGUAAAUUGAGAGGAACGGUGAUAAAAAAGGGUGGUCAUCUCAUGCACUUUUGCUUUAGGAGGGAGUCGAAGUGUGUUUUUCGGUUUUGCCCUUGAAAUUAUGCUCAUGUGAGAGAGACGUGUGAUUUUUAGUUGAAAAAAAUGAGUAAAGACGAGUAUUAGGACUAAACUAGCACGGAAUUUAUAUGCUAGGGACUACUCUGACUAAUUUUAAAUGUUAGAGAUUAAAAAAUUUUUUUUUUUUACAAAUAUUAGAGACCAAUUUGGCAAAAUUUUCAAAUUAAUUAAUAGAGGUAAAUUUGUCAAAAAAAUUUUAAUUUAAUUAAUAGGGGCAAAUUAGUCCAUUUAUUACUACAUUAUUAUGUGAGAGUAUGGUUAUAUAAUAUUCAGUAUAAAUUUGUAUCAUUUGUUAGGGCAAUUUAGUUCAAAUAUUGUUAUGUUUAUAGCGGGGACAAAUAAGUCAAAAAACUUUAAAUUAAUUAGCAAGGGCAAAUUAAUCCAUUCAUGUUAUAUUAUCGUGUGAGGAUAAGGUCAUAUAAUUAUGAGAGUAUAAAUUUAUAUUAUUGAUAAGGAUAAAUUAGUUUAAAAAUUCAUCAUUCUAUCUUUUAGUUAUUCGGAGAUGACUAAUACUACCUCAACCAUGGGAUUAUUUUAUUAAUGUCAUCCUGAGAUAACUAAUAUCACAUUGUCAUAGAAUUAUUUUAUCCCAUAAAUAAGGGAUUAAUUCCAUUAAUUAGAACGUGUCAUCUCAUGUGUAAAAUGCAACCAAAGAUAAGAUGACACAAGAUGAUUAAUCCAAUUCUAUAUCAUCCCAUGAACCAAAUGGACAUUUAGGUUUUAUCCCAUAAUAUAUUUUAAAGUAAUUACAAACAUCUUUAUAAAACCUCUGCAAAUAAGCUCAUAACCUCUAUAAAACCUCAUAAGCUCAAAAUACUAUAUGGUAAUUUCUUUGGGCUUCCUUUUCUUUAAUGCAUUUAGCCACACCUCUUUUCAACUACCUAAUCUUUCUCUCCUAUCCUUUCUUUUUAUGCUCAUGUUCACAUUCAUCAUAUCCAUGAAAAUAGGCUUUAACAGUUGAUUUCUUCAGAUAAAGCUCAAGCUUUUUUCUUCUCCAUGUCUUCAGAGACCACCAGAUGAGCUACCAUAUUUUGAUUUUCCCAGUAAUGUGCUAUCUAAAUCUCAACACACAUUUCCUUUUCUAUACAUAGCUAGUUUCAAUGCCAAAAUGUUGCUAACAGACAUUAAGGUUAAGAGUGAUGUUCAAUGCCAAAAUCUUGUUGUACGACAACAAUACACAACAAGUUAAAGAAGUAAAUGGAGAAUGACAUCAAAAAGGUAAUUUGAUAGGAUAGGGAGAGGAGAAACUUACUUAUAGUCAUGCUGAUAUAGCUCCUCAUGGUGAGCAAUCCUUACAGCUAUGAAGUUAUCACAUUCAAUAAUUAAUCUUCUGAAUUCCUGUUUCCCAUCAAAAUCUAACUCCAUGAAUAGUUUCAUUUUCAAUCGAAUACCUUUUAAUUCUGUUUCAAGUAUAUUUGUCAUUUCAGGAACUGUGUCAAAAAAUAAAUCUCCUUCACAAAUCCCACCUAAUCUCUGAACACCCCCACCAAUGUAACCAACUCUUUUUGCCUCUCCAUUCUGAUGUUCCACACCAUUUUCUUUCUUUAUAUCUUCCAAUUAUCUCUCCAUUCUAGUGUUCCACACCAUUUUUAUGUAACCAACUUUUUUCGUUUCUUCAUUUUGAUGUUCCAUACCAUUUUUUUUCAUCAUACCAGUUGAUUUUUUUCCAUAUCUUUUGAUUCCGUCAAUGAUGCAUCCACAUUGCAUUUCAAAUAUCCCUUCAAGGUGUUGUCACCAUAACACUUGUGGUGAUCCAUUCAAGGGAUUGAUGCAUCUUUUUAUCGGAACAAAUUUUUUUUGUUCAAGUGACAAUACACAAAUCAUGCACCUAUCAUCCCAUCACAUAAUUCAACUCUCUUAUCACAUGGAAUCUUGUGCAUUCACUUACAUCAACCUUCAGUUAAUACAAGCCUUUCCUUACAGCUACAUUCGAUCUUAGUUACAAUAAUUGGGGUGUGUAAUUCGUCAGAUCAGGGAUCCUUUGGCUAAGGAGUUUAGGUUAAAUAAGACAGCACAAACUAAUUUAUACCGUUGACAAGUUAGGUGGAAAGUAUGAAAGUGAAAGAUAGGAAAAAGAACAAGCGAAAUGAAGCAAUUGAAGGGAGUAGAAAUGACCAAGUGACAUCUUGUAUCUUGCGCGUGUAUUUUUGGAUUAAGCAACCUUGUCACAAUUGACAAUUCAAUACUGUUCAAUUCUAGUUAUUGUUGCCCUCUCCACAGAACUACAAUUUUUUGGUUUGCCAAAUGGAUGCCCAAUCACCAAUUUAAAAUCAGUAAUUCAAGAAUGAUUUAACCUAACAAGUUAUCUAACAAAAGAAACAGAAACAGUUUAUAUUACUUUGUGAAAACAUAAGUUUGGUAUCAAAGAAGACAAAAACAAAAAUUCACCUAAGACCAUAAUACUAAAGAGUUGGUCUGUUGUAUAUUACUUUUGAAUUAUCAAAAAUAAGAUAGCAAGAAAUCAUGUCUAUUUAACUACGAUGGUCUCUCAACAAUGAAAAUGAACUUGUUUUGUUUGAUCAUAGAGCAACAAAAAAUUGAUAAAAUAGCAAUGACAUAACCCACAAAUCAGCAAAAUCACCAACUUUUUUUUUGCUUUGAUUAGCAAUGCUCAAAGUGAUCUAGAUUCAUCUAAUGCAUGAACAAUCCUGCUUACCAUAAAUAAUGGAUUUGGAAUACUUAACACUUGAAUAAUUAAGCAAUCAUCUAUUUUUAAAAAAUACAAUCUAUCAUCAUAUGCUAAAGAGAAACUUUACAUCCCAAAAAUCAUAUCAAAGUCACACAUUUAUUAACUGUGUUUAUCCCAGAAAUCAAGUUGGGGGUUGAUAAUUAAAAAAGAGGCACCAGCAUCAACAAAGACAGUUAUUUCAGCACCCACAUGAUGAAAACAAAGUGGCAGUUAGUAUAACAGUAAAAUAAACAGCGCUUUAACAAAAUAGAACUUUCUUAGAGAUUUCCUCAUUUGCUGUCUUUUGGUAGAUACCAUAAAAAAUCAAAGUCGCUUUCACAUGAGUAGCAAGUUAGUAUAAACGUAGCAACGGAUUAAAUUUGUCCAACAAACAGACAAAUUUGGACAAAUUUGUUCUUGGUUGUUGGUUCUGAAUCCUUCCUUACAAAAGUAGCUACAGCACACAAAACGCUUCUCCACAAUUCUUUAGUUUGUACUCUUUGUCCAAGUAUAGAAAGUGCCAUGGAAUGUAACCUGAGAUACUUUUUUUACUAGUUAUGAGCAGAAACUCAGUGGAUUUAGGAAGAAAAAUGGCUAAAUCUAAUAGGUUUAGGAGUUUGUCACCACUGCUUUUCCAACUAUUUUUUAUUGUCUUUUUUCAUUCUUCGCUUUUCUUCUCCUUUGAGGGUUUCUAACCCAAAUUCUAAAUACAUCGUAACUCCCAAGUGAGUAUAAGAGAACCGGAUCCCAUCAUUUAAUGUCCAAAAUGUAGUAUAGAUACAAAAGUCAAGACUGAUAGUUGUUGUAUAAUGUUUUUGAACAAAAAUGAUACAGCAUACAAGGACGUAAUUCGUAGACAAAAAUUCUUGUCGAAAAUAGACUAUCGACUAGGUUGGAUUACAAAAUUUUCACAAGAAACAUCUGAAAAAUUGUCUGCUCACCUAGUUUCUGACCGGCCAAGCCAUCCUAAUGAAUUCAAUAAAUUAUUUCAUCUUAAUUUCCAUAUUCUCAUAAUUUUAACAGCCUACCAUAGCUGCCCUGAAACUUUCCAUGCAAAUCAACAGUGACAAUUAAAGUUUGCAUUCAACCCAAUCUUUAGCUUCAUUUUUUUUUUUACCCAAAUUCAAUGUUUGAAUUGAAUUGACUAAUAUUAAUAUCCAAAUUCAAUCCAAAUGGAGUGCAACCUUGUUGAUGCUAAAGCAAUAUCACCAAUCAAGAAUAUAAAUACGAAACAACCAAAAGCCACACUAGAGAUCACAAUCCAUAUCUCUAGGCAAAUAUGAUUGGAAUUUUUAUAUUUCAAAAUUCUUUUUUACACAAUUUGUAUAAUACCGCAACCUUCCUCGGUCCAUGUGCCCUUUUUAGCAAUCACUUUUAUUUUAUUUUAUAUACUCUGUAUCACCGUUAUUUUUUCACCCACAUUUAGUUUGACAAUAAAUGCGAUCCGACAACUUGUCAUUUUACAAUUUCAAUUCAAUAAUACUUAUUAAAAAGGAAAAAUAAAAAGUGAGAAGAUCUAUUUGCAAAAAAAUAGUGGAUUAUGAAAUGUAGGAGAAAGAAAGUAGUUAAAAUAGUUCGAAAGAUAGAAUAAGAAUUUAUUUUAUGUUGGAACCGUUGUUUUAAAAUGAAAGACUAGUUGUUUUAAAAUGAAAUAAUGGAUUUGGAAUACUUAACACUUGAAUAAUUAAACAAUUAUCUUUUUUUAGAAAAUACAAUCCAUCAUUAUAUGCUAAAGAGAAACUUUACAUCCCAAUAAUCAUAUCAAAGUCACAUAUUUAUUAAGCGUGUGUUGGGAGGACCAUAUAUAAUGCAACCAAUCAAGAAUAUAAACACGAAACAACCAAAAGCCACACUAGAGAUCACAUUCCAUAUCUCUAGGCAAAUAUGAUUGCAAUUUUUAUAUUCCAAAAUUUUUUUUACACAAUUUGUAUAAUACCACAACCUUCCUCAGUCCAUGUUCCCUUUUUAGCUAUCACUUUUAUUUUAUUUUAUGUACUGUGUAUCACCGUUAUUUUUUCACCCACAUUUAGUUUGACAAUAAAUAUGGUCCGACAACUUGUCAUUUUGCAAUUUUAAUUCAAUAAUACUUAUUAAAAAAGGAAAAACAAAAAGGGAGAAGAUCUAUUUGCAAAAAAAUAGUGGAUUAUGAAAUGUAAGAGAAAGAAAGUAGUUAAAAUAGUUUGAAAGAUAGAAUAAGAAUUUAUUUUAUGUUGCAACCGUUGUUUUAAAAUGAAAUAACGGAUUUGGAAUACUUAACACUUGAAUAAUUGAACAAUCAUCUUUUUUUAGAAAAUACAAUCCAUCAUUAUAAGCUAAAGAAAAACUUUACAUCCCAAAAAUCAUAUCAAAGUCACACAUUUAUUAAGCGUGUGUUGAGAGGACCAUACAUAAUGCCAAGUCUUAUCAUAUAGGACAAGUGCAGAUGAGUGAAAACUCAAUCAAACUCUGGUUUUAACUUUUGUCAAGUCAACAUAAAAUGGAAAAAAAAAGAGAGCUUUUUGAACAGGUCUUAAUUUCAAAGAAACAAAGAAAUUCAAACAAUAAUCCAGUUCCUAUAUGUGAUUUUAGAUCCUAUAAUCAAGAUGUCUUGGUCACUUCUAUGUCAUUUUGAGGUUAAUAGCAUAGAAAAUCUUCAACAGUCGAGAAAAUAUGAUUUCCCCAGUAAUGUGCUAUCUAAAUCUUAACACACGUCUCCUUUUCAUACACAGCUAGCUUCAAUGCCAAAAUGUUAUUAACAGACAUUAAGGUUAAGAGUGACGUUCAAUGUCAAAAUUUUGCUGUACAACAACAAUACACAACAAGUUAAAAAAGUAAAUGGAGAAUGACAUCAAAAAAGGAAUUUAUAGGAUAGGGAGAGGAGAAACUUACUCAUAGUCAUGCUGAUACAGCUACUCAUGGUGAGCAAUCCUUACAGCUAUGAAGUUAUCACAUUCGAUAAUUAAUCUUCUGAAUUCCUGUUCCCAUCAAAAUCUAAAUCCAUGAAUAGUUCCAUUUUCAGUCGAAUACCUUUUAAUUUUGUUUCAAUUAUAUUUGUCAUUUCAGGAACUGUGUCAAAAAAUAAAUCUCCUUCACAAGUCUCACCUAAUCUCUGAACACCCCUCCAAUGUAACCAACUCCUUUUGCCUCUCCAUUCUCUGAACACUCCCUCCAAUGUAACAAACUCUUUUUGCCUCUCCAUUCUGAUGUUCCACACCAUUUUCUUUCUUCAUAUCUUCCAAUUAUCUCUCCAGUCUAGUGUUCCACACCAUUUUCAUGUAACCAACUCUUUUCGUCUCUUCAUUUUGAUGUUCCAUACCAUUUUUUUUCUUCAUAAUAGUUGAUCUUUUUCCAUAUCUUUUGCUUCCGUCAAUGAUGGAUCCACAUUGCAUUUCAAACAUCCCUCUAAGGUGUUGUCACCAUAACACUUAUGGUGAUCCAUUCAAGGGAUUGAUGCAUCUUUUCAUCGGAACAAAAUUUUUUUGUUCAAGUGACAAUAUACAAAUAUGCACCUAUCAUCCAAUCACAUAAUUCAACUCUUUUAGCACAUGGAAUCUUGUGCAUUCACUUAUCAUAUGCUAAAGAGAAACUUUACACCCCAAAAAUCAUAUCAAAGUCACACAUUUAUUAAACUUGUUUAUCCCAAAAAUCAAGUUGGGGGUUGAUAAUUAAAAAACAGGCAUCAGCAUCAACAAGGACAGUUAUUUCAGCACCCAUACGAUGAAAACAAAGUGACGGGAAACAUCUAAAAACUUGCCUAGUUCCUGACUGGUCAUUCCAUCCUAACGAAUUCAAUAAAUCAUUUCACCUUAAUUUUUAUAUUCUCAGUAGUUUAAUAGACCACCAUUGCUGCCCCGAAACUUUCCAUGCAAAUCAACAGUGACAAUUAAAGUUUGCAUUCAAUCUAAUCUUUAGCUUCAUUUUUUUUUACAUAAAUUAAAUGUUUGAAUUGACUAAUAUUAUUAUCCAAAUUCAAUUUAAAUGGAGUGCAACCUUGUUAAUGCUAAAGUAAUCUAACCCAUCAUGAAUAUCAACACGAAACAACCAAAAGCAAUACUAGAGAUUACAUCCCAUAUCUCUAGGCAAAUAUUAUUGCAGUUUUUAUAUCCUAAAAUUCUUUUUGACACAAUUGGUAUAAUAUCGUAGCCUUCCUCAAUCCAUAUUCUCUUUUUAGCUAUCGCUUUUAUUUUCUUGUAUAUACUUUGUAUCACAGUCAUUUUUUCAUCUUCAUUUAGUUUGACAACAAAUAUGAUCCGACAACUUGAUAUUUUGUAAUUUCAAUUCAAUAGUACUUAUAAAAAAAAAGAAAAACAAAAAAAGGAGAAGAUCUAUUUGUAGAAAAAUAGGGGAUUAUGAAAUGUAGGUGAAAGAAACUAGUUAAAAUAGUUCGAAAGAUAGAACAAGAGUUUAUUUUAUGUUGCAACCGUUGUUUUAAAAUGAAAAAAUAAUGGAUUUGGAAUACUUAACACUUGAAUAAUUAAACAAUCAUCUUUUUUUAUAAAAUACAACUUGUCAUUAUAUGCUAAAGAGAAACUUUGCAUCCCAAAAACCGUAUCAACGUCACACAUUUAUUAAGUGUGUGUUGAGAGGACCAUAUAUAAUGCAACCAAUCAAGAAUAUAAACACGAAAAAAUCAAAAGCAACAUUAGAGAACACAUUUCAUAUCUAUAGGCAAAUAAGAUUGCAAUUUUUACAUUUCAAGAUUCUUUUUUACACAAUUUGUAUAAUACCGCAACCUUCCUCAGUCCAUAUUCCCUUUUUAGCUAUCACGUUUAUUUUAUUUUAUGUACUAUGUAUCACCGUCAUUUUUUUCACCUUUAUUUAGUUUGACAAUAAAUAUGAUCCGACAACUUGAUAUUUUGCAAUUUCAAUUCAAUAAUACUUAUAAAAAAAAGAAAAACAAAAAAAGGAGAAAAUCUAUUUGUAGAAAAAUAAUGGAUUAUGAAAUGCAGGUGAAAGAAAAUAGUUAAAAUAGUUCGAAAGAUAGAAUAAGAGUUUAUUUUAUGUUGCAACCGUUUUUUUAAAAUGAAAUACUAGUUGUUUUGAAAUGAAAUAAUGGAUUUGGAAUACUUAACACUUGACUAAUUAAACAACUAUCUUUUUUUAUAAAAUACAAUUCGACAUUAUAUGCUAUAGAGAAUCUUUACAUCCGAAAAACCAUAUCAACGUCACACAUUUAUUAAGCAUGUGUUGAAAUGACCAUAUAUAAUGCCCAGUCUUAUCGUAUAGGACAAGUGCAGAUGAGUGAAAACUCAAUCAAACUCUGGUUUUAACUUUUGUCAAGUCAACAUAAAAUGGAAAAAAAGAGAGCUUUUUGAACAUGUCUUAAUUUCAAAGAAACAAAGAAAUUAAAACAGUGAUCCAGUUCCUAUAUGUGAUUAUAGACCUUAUAUUCAAGAUGUCUUGGUCACUUCUAUGUCAUUUUGAGGUUAAUAGCAUAGAAAACCUUCAACAGUCGAGAAAAUAUGAUUUCCCCAGUAAUGUGCUAUCUAAAUCUCAACACACAUAUCUUUUUCUAUACACAGCUAGCUUUAAUGCCAAAAUGUUGCUAACAGACAUUAAGGUUAAGAGUGACGUUCAGUGCCAAAAUCUUGCUGUACUACAACAAUACACAACAAGUUAAAAAAGUAAAUGGAGAAUGACAUCAAAAAGGUAAUUGAUAGGAUAGGGAGAGGAGAAACUUACUCAUAGUCAUGCUGAUACAGCUACUCAUGGUGAGCAAUCCUUACAGCUAUGAAGUUAUCACAUUCGAUAAUUAAUCUUCUGAAUUCCUGUUUCCCAUCAAAAUCUAACUCCAUGAAUAGUUCCAUUUUCAGUCGAAUACCUUUUAAUUCUGUUUCAAGUAUAUUUGUCAUUUCAGGAACUGUGUCAAAAAACAAAUCUCCUUCACAAGUCCCACUUAAUCUCUGAACACCCCUUCAAUGUAACCAACUCCUUUUGCCUCUCCAUUCUCUGAACACCCCCUCCAAUGUAACCAACUCUUUUUGCCUCUCCAAUCUGAUGUUCCACACCAUUUUCUUUCUUCAUAUCUUCCAAUUAUCUCUUCAUUCUAGUGUUCCACACCAUUUUUAUGUAACCAACUCUUUACGUCUCUUCAUUUUGAUGUUCCAUACCAUUUUUUUUCUUCAUAACAGUUGAUCUUUUUCCAUAUCUUUUGCCUCCGUCAAUGAUACAUCCACAUUGCAUUUCAAACAUCCCUUUAACGUGUUGUCACCAUAACACUUGUGGUGAUCCAUUCUAGGGAUUGAUGCAUAUUUUUAUCGGAACAAAAUUUUUUUGUUCAAGUGACAAUACACAAAUAUGCACCGAUCAUCCCAUCACAUAAUUCAAAUUUUUUAGCACAUGGAAUCUUGUGCAUUCACUUACACCAACCAUCAGUUAAUACAAGCCUUUCCUCACAGCCACAUUCGAUCCUAGUUACAACAAUUGGGGUGUGUAAUUGGUCAGAUCAGGUAUCCUUUGGCUAAGAAGUUUAGGUUAAAUAAGAUAGCACAAACUAAUUUAUACCGUUGACAAGUUAGGUGGAAAGUAUGAAAGAGGAAGAUAGGAAAAAUAGCAAGCGAAAUGAAGCAAUUGAAGGGACUAGAAAUGGCCAAGUGACAUCUUGUAUCUUGUGCGUGUAUCUUUGGAUUAAGCAACCUUGUCACAAUUGAUAAUUCAAUAUUGUUCAAUUCUAGUUAUUGUUGUCCUCUCCACCGAACUUCAAUUUUUUGGUUUGCCAAGUGGAUGCCCAAUCAUCAAUUUAAGAUCAGUAAUUCAAGAAUGAUUUAACCUAACAAGUUGUCUAACAAAAGAAACAUAAACAGUUUAUCUUACUUUGUGAAAACAUAAGCUUGGUAUCAAAGAAGACAAAAACAAAAAUUCACCUAAGAACAUAAUACUAAAGAGUUGGUCUGUUGUAAAUUACUUUUGAAUUAUCAAAAAUAAGAUAGCAAGAAAUCAUGUCUAUUUAACUAAGAUGAUCUCUCAACAAUGAAAAUGAACUUGUUUUGUUUGAUCAUAGAGCAACAGAAAAUUGAUAAAAUAGCAAUGACAUAACCCACAAAUCAGCAAAACCAUCAACUUUUUUUUGCUUUGAUUAGCAAUGCUUAAAGUGAUCUAGAUUCAUCUAAUGCAUGAACAGUCCUGUCUACCAUAAAUAAUGGAUUUGGAAUGCUUAACACUUGAAUAAUUAAACAAUCAUCUUUUUUUAGAAAAUACAAUCCGUCAUCAUAUGCUAAAGAGAAACUUUACACCCCAAAACUCAUAUCAAAGUCACACAUUUAUUAAACGUGUUUAUCUCAAAAAUCAAGUUAGGGGUUGAUAAUUAAAAAACAGGCAUCAGCAUCAACAAAGACAGUUAUUUCAGCACCCAUACGAUAAAAACAAAGUGACAGGAAACAUUUAAAAAAUUGUCUGCUCGCCUUGUUCCUGACCGGUCAUUCUAUCCUAACAAAUUCAAUAAAUCAUUUCACCUUAAUUCCUAUAUUUUCAGAAUUUUAAUAGCCUACCAUUGCUGCCUCGAAACUUUCCAUGCAAAUCAACAGUGACAAUUAAAGUUUGCUUUCAACCUAAUCUUUAGCUUCAUUUUUUUUUUUACAUAAAUUCAAUGUUUGAAUUUACUAAUAUUAUUAUCCAAAUGAAGUGCAACCUUGUUGAUGCUAAAAUAAUCUAACCCAUCAUGAAUAUCAACACGAAACAACCAAAAGCAACACUAGAGAUCACAUCCCAUAUCUCUAGGCAAAUAUUAUUGCAGUUUUUAUAUUCCAAAAUUCUUUUUUACACAAUUGGUAUAAUAUCGUAGCCUUCCUCAAUCCAUAUUCCCUUUUUAGCUAUCACUUUUAUUUUCUUGUAUGUACUUUGUAUCACCGUCAUUUUUUUCACCUUUAUUUAGUUUGACAAUAAAUAUGAUCCAGCAACUUGUUAUUUUGCAAUUUCAAUUCAAUAAUACUUAUAAAAAAAAAAAAGAAAAACUAAAAAGGAAGAAGAUCUAUUUGUAGAAAAAUAGUGGAUUAUGAAAUGCAGGAGAAAGAAAGUAUUUAAAAGAGUUCAAAAGAUAGAAUAAGAGUUUAUUUUAUGUUGCAACUGUUGUUUUAAAAUGAAAUACUAGUUGUAAUCGUAGGAUUUUUUUUAAUUUUUUGGUUUGCUAGAUGGAUGUCCAAUCACUAAUUUAUUGGAAUUGUUGCCUUGUCCACAAAACUUUAAUUUUUUGGUUUGGCUUGUCCACAAAAUUUUAUUUUUUUUGGUUUGCCAAAUGGAUGUCCAAUCACCAAUUUUAGAUCAGUAAUUCAAGAAUGAUUUAACCUAACAAGUUGUCUAACAAUUGAAACAAAAACAUUUUAUCUUACUUUGUAAAAACAUAAGCUUGGUAUCAAAGAAGACGAAAACAAAAUUUCACCUAAGAACAUAAUACUAAAGAGUUUGUCUGUUGUGAAUUGCUUUUUAAUUAUCAGAAAUAAGAUAUCAAGAAAUCAUGUCUAUUUAACUAAGAUGGUCUCUCAACAAUGAAAAUGAACUUGUUUUGUUGAUCAUAGAGCAACAGAAAAUUGCUAAAAUAGCAAUGACAUAACCCACAAAUCAGCAAAAUCACCAAUCUUUUUUUUGCUUUGAUUAUCAAUGCUCAAACUGAUCUAGAUUCAUCUAAUGCAUGAACAGUCUUGUCUACCAUAAAUAAUGGAUUUGGAAUAUUUAACACUUGAAUAAUUAAACAAUCAUCUUUUUUUAGAAAAUACAACCCGUCAUUAUAUGCUAAAGAGAAACUUUACAUCUCAAAAAUCAUAUCAAAGUCACACAUUUAUUAAGCGUGUUUAUCCCGAAAAUCAAGUUGGGGGUUGAUAAUUAAAAAAUAGGCAUCAGUAUCAACAAAUAUAGUUAUUUCAGCACCCAUAGGAUGAAAACAAAGUGGCAGUUAGUAUAGCAAUAAAGUAAAUAGCCCUUUAACAAAACAAAACUAUCUUAGAGAUUUCCUCAUUUGGUGUCUUUAUGUAGAUACCAUAAAAAAUCAAGGUCUCUUUCACAUAAGCAGCAAGUUAGUAUAAACGUAGCAACGGAUUAAAUUUGUCCAACAAACAGAAAAAUUUGUUCCUGGUUGUUGGUUCUAAGUCCUUCCUCACAAAAGUAGUUGCAGCACACAUAGCAUUUCUUAACAAUUCUUUAGUUUGUGCUCUUUUUCCAAGUAUAGAAAGCGCCAUGGAAUGUAAGCUAAGAUUUUUUUUUUACUACUUAUGAGUAGAAACUCAGCGGAUUUAGGAAGAAAAAUGGCUAAAUCAAGUGGGUUUAGGAGCUUGCCGCCACUGCUUCUCCAACUAUUUUUUAUUGUCUUUUUUCCUUCUUCUUUCUUCUUCUCCUUUGAGGGUUUCUAACCCAAAUUCUAAAUACACCGUAUCCCCCAAGUGAGUAUAAGAGGACCAGAUCCCAUCUCAUGUCCAAAACGUAGUAUAGAUACAAAUGUGCUGAUUGAUAGUUGUUGUAUAAUGUUUUUGAACAAUACAACAUACAAGGACGUGAUGCGUACACAAAAAUUCUUGUCGAAAAUAAACUAUCGACUAGGUUGGAUUACAAAAUUUUCACAGGGAAUAUCUGAAAAAUUGUCUGCUCGCCUAGUUCCUGACCUGCCAUUCCAUCCUAACGAAUUCAAUAAAUCACUUCACCUUAAUUCCCAUAUUCUCACAAUUUUAACAGCCUACCAUUGCUGCCCCGAAACUUUCCAUACAAAUCAACAGUGACAAUUAAAGUUUGCAUUCAACCUAAUCUUUAGCUUCAUUUUUUUUUUGCCUAAGUUCAAUGUUUGAAUUGACUAAUAUUACUAUCCAUAUUCAAUCCAAAUGGGGCGCAACCUUGUUGAUGCUAAAGUAAUCUAACCUAUCAAGAAUAUCAAAACGAAACAACCAAAAGCAACACUAGAGAUCACAUUCCAUAUCUCUAGGCAAAUAUGAUUGCAGUUUUUAUAUUCCAAAAUUCUUUUUUACACAAUUGGUAUAAUACUGCAACCUUCCUCAAUCCAUGUUUCCUUUUUAGCUAUCACUUUUAUUUUCUUGUAUGUACUCUGUAUCACCAUCAUUUUUUUCACCUUCAUUUAGUUUGACAAUAAAUAUGAUUCGGCAACUUGUCAUUUUGUAAUUUCAAUUCAAUAAUACUUAUAGAAAAAAGAAAAAUAAUAAAAGGGAGAAGAUCUAUUUGCAGGAAAAUAGUGGAUUAUAAAAUGUAGGAGAAAGAAAGUAGUUAAAAGAGUUCAAAAGAUAGAAUAAGAAUUUAUUUUAUAUUGCAACCGUUGUUUUAAAAUGAAAGACUAGUUGUAAUCGUAGGAUUUUCUUUUUGUUUGUAGAAAUUAUUUAUAAGUGAAGGAUAUUAUAAUCAUUUUACUACAUUUCUGAAAUUAUCCCAUGUUUUUUAGAUGGUUUGAAAGGGUCGUAAAUCUAAACCUGAACCUUUAGUUACGGUUAUGUUCUCGAUUUUGAUUUUCAAAAUUCAGUCCUGGUUUAAGUUCAAUAAAUCAUUGGGGCCGAUCUCGAUCCGAUUUCAAAUCAAACCUGAACUGUGGUCAUUUCUAUAUGUAACUAGCGAAAUUUUUAAAAAAAUCUAUAGAAUCAAUGCUCUUCAAAAUUGAAUCAUUAAAACAAAUACUAUUUUAUGUCCUGACAAAAUGGAAAAAUUGUAUGCACUGAAAUGAUCCAAAAAAAAAAGAAGAAAUGAAAGAGAAAGAAUGUGGCUAAUAUUUUGUUUGACAUUUUAGCAUCUUUACCAUAAAUUUUCAAGGUGUAAUUUUGAAAAGUGUUACCGAUAGUGGAUAAACCAAGAAAAAUUUAAAACUAUAAAAGGUAGGAACACAUAAAGUUAUUGCAGAUUGCUUCCUUUGUGAAAGAAGAGUACCAUUUGUCCCUUUGUUGUUGUGAAGGUCAAAUGACAGAAUAUAAAAAUAACGUUACACAAUGCAGGUGCUCACGCUGAUGAAUAGUAUAGUUACAGGUGUGAUGAUUGAUAGUUGUAUAAUUAUAAUUUUGAGCAAAAAUGAUACAGCAUACAAGGACGUCGUAGAAAAAAAUCUCGUCGAAAAUCGACUAGGUUGGAUUACAAAAUUUUCACAGGAAACACCUAAAAAAUGGUCUGCUCGCCUAGUUCCUGACCGGCCAUUCCUUCUCUGAGGACCUUGUCAAAGAAUUCUUCCAAGGUGUCCUUUCCAUAACUUGGUGUUUUCUCAGCACUGUAUUCUCCAGUUUCAGGAUCCCUCACCAGCAUGCUUUCAGCGGCAUAGUACCGACCGAUCUUCCCAAACUCAGCUGCAUCUUCCAGCGAAGGAAAUAUUUUGACGAGGAAAUCAAGAACACCAAUGGCAAAGUCCAUUAUCUCAAUUGGCACUUUCAGGAACUUGGGCUCUUUCCCUAACAGUCUGAACAAAAUCUGCCCCUGCUCCAGCGGCGUCAAAGCCUUCCCAGGUCCUCCAAUUGGCAGAAUCUGAUUAAUCUUGUUCUCGCUCAAUACGCAAUCCGCAAUGAAUGAGGCCAAAUCAGGCUCGCUGAUUGGCUUGCAAGCACACAACUUUCCAUCCCCAAACAUCACAUACGGCUUUCCAUCUUUCACCAAAUCAACCUGUCCUCCAAGGCUCUUGAAGAAUGCUGUUGGUCUUACAAUACUAUAGGUAAAUCCAGCAUCCUGUUCUGCUUCUUUCAUUAAUUCAGCUUCAAAUUUCAGCUUUGCUCUUUGAAAUUCAAGGAGGGGUUUUUGCACGCAGAUUGCAGAUAGCAAAACAAAAUGUGAAGCCCCAAAUUUCCUGCCAGCAACAAGACUAUUCUUUGUGGCUUCAUAAUCAAUCUUCCACGAGUCCUUCACGCCACCGUUUCGACUAGCAAGGCAAGACACAACAACAUCAACUGAAGCCACUCUUUCUGCUAAACUCUUCUCCAAAACAUCCAACUGAGUUACGUCUGAGUAGCAUACGUUAGCUCCAUUUAACAUUUCCGAGGUCUUAUCUUUAUCAUUCCGACCUCUAAUGCCACUUCUUUCCCUAGCAAUGGCGAUGACAUUGAAGCCUCUUUUGACAAACUCUUUAACUACAAAAUUCCCAAUGUAGCCAGUUGAACCCACAACCAGAACACUAAUAUCUUCUGGGUUUUUGCUCCUGAAUGAAGUUUUGGAACUUUCAACGGUUGGUGUAGCUGAAGCUGAUAUCAGAUGACAUCUUUCUUUACCAAAUUUAAAGUGUCCUGAUAAAUGUAAAGAAGGAGAAUAAGGGGCUGGUCUUACCUGAAUACGAUUGAUAAAAUUAGAAGAAAUGAGUCUGCUGAAGCUUUCUGCUUUUGGCGAGUGCAGUGCGAGUCCAUUAUAAGCUGCACAAAUGGACAUUUUACUUGGGAAUUCUCAAAAUGCCCAAAAUGGCUCGUGGUUUUGCUAAAGCAUUAUUCUUGAAAUAAGGGAAAUUGGAAAAGAAAGAAAAUUUUCCUUAAAAAAAAAAAAGAAAAGAAAGAAAUUUUGAGGUUGAAGAUGGCAAGGUGGCUAUGUUUGAGUUCGUCUGUUAUCCUCGGAGAAUCCAACUGAUUGGUUCAUAUUGCUGGGAAGUGCGUGGAAAUCUUUGAAUUUUUAUUUUUAUUUUUUUUGUUAACUCCCCCAUUCCUUCUUAAGGCCCAUUCCUUUCACACUAGUAGCAUAGAUACUCUAUCCACAAAAUAAGUAAAGCCCAGGACUAGUAACUUGUAAGCUUCAACUCAUUUACAUGGGCCGAAGAGAUUGUCCAGCUCAUUUCAGGAUACGAGGUGCGUUGUCAUCAAAAUCAGUCUCAAUUGUACGAAAUACUUCGAAGUGAUGUCUCUCUAUAUGCAGAAUUCAAAUGGAUAGGACGGAGGCAUCGGGCAAUCAAACUGUGUCAUGAGCAUAUCUAAGUUUGUUCGUAAAUGUUUAAAAUUUUGGUGUGCAAGUGUGACCAAGUCUUGAUUAUGUAUUGUCUCAGACAUUGUCAAGAUACGAUUUUCUAGUUCCAUGUUAUACGACUAAGGCGAAAAUUUGAGCAUAAGAGGAAGAUUUGGGUCCCCUUUGCAUCAGUCUCAACUAUAAUCAAGAAGUUAGGCAGCCAUAAUUAUUAACAAAGUAUACGUGCUUAUUUCUGGGAAAUGACUAUGAGCAUGUAGUAGACCAAGAAAAAGAGAGAGAGACAAGAAUUUGGCAUGUAAUUGAGACAAGAGAUAUGGUACAAUGACUAGAAUGAAGUUCAUAUAAAAGCACAGAUCCAUUGAAUCAAACAAAAAAUGGAUGGACUCAUAAACCAUCAAGGCUGGAAGCCAACAAAUUAAGCAAUCAUUAUUGACUUAGCAAAGGUGUGAUCUUUACAUGAGUGGGGGGUGAGCAAUGCACUAUAACGAUGUUAGAGUGGGGGGUGAAUUCUAAAGUAUAACAAAAAAAUAUCCGAAAAUAAAUUGUUAGCGUUAUAACAUGCACAAUUCUUCAAAAAUAUCAAGAAAACUUCUACUUGUGCUCGAUGUGUAGUUUCAAUUUUUAUUAGCUAUAUGUUUUAAUAAUGGAAGAUUUUAUGACAACUUCAAAGCAAAAUUUCACACAUUUUUUGUAUAAAAAGAAAAGAUCUUCAACCACUAGCUACUAGGUAGUAAUCCAGUCAUUAUUGUUCUAAUCGAUAUCAAAUGUGAUUUUAUCAAGCUGAAUUCGAUUUAGAUCAGUAUAAUAUUAAAUCGAUUUUAAUGCAUAUGAUUAUUAGACCAACUAAUAAAUUCCACGAAAUUAAAUCACAUGUACCAUCAAGCGUGAACUAAGUUAAUUGGUAUCCAACCCUCCAUGAUGCCACUAAGUAGGCCAUCAAAAACGGUGGAAUUGUUAGUCAAGCAAAUAAAAAUAUUGCAUUCAAAUGCACAAAGAAAAAGGUGCACAGACCAUAAACAUUACUACUACUGUAGCAGAGUGAUAAAUAUACUGUCAGCCUUUUCAGUAUUGAAGACUAUCGAAUAUAAUUAUACACACUAGGACUCCGUAUUAGCAUCAAAGCAGGCUCUGAAGGUUCAGUUUGUUGUUUAGAUCUUCUUAGCACUCACCAUCUUUCUUUGAAAACAAAAGAUCCUUCACCCCAUCCCUUCCCCACCACCUCUUGGCCGGACCCCAAUUUAUGCCGGCUACCAUGAUGUCACUUUCCGGUAAUCCACCCAUUACUUGACUCUAAUCGCCAACUUCUUCCCAUAAAGGUUAGAAUUUUAGCUCUUAUCAACCUCAAAAUCAAUAUUUGAGCAUCUGGGCUCUUCUUGAAUUGGCUUAUCUUGUUUUCCUGCUAAGAUUCUUGAAAUAUUUCAGCAAGUGCAUAUAUGCAUGAAUGAUGUGUGCGAGUCUCUGUGUUUAACUGUUUAUUGUGUUGAGCUGUGUGAAGUAAUUUUGUGAGUCAAGUUAUGGAGACCCUUUUGAAUUUGCAAGUUAAUGAAUUCGUGAGUUUUCUGUGAUCUGAAUGUUGGCAUGCAUUAGAUUAAAGACGGUGUAAUCGAGGUGGGAUUUAAAUAUAUUUUAAAAGGGUUUUCUUUAAAUAAUGGUGUUAUGAAUCUUUGCAGUUAAUACAAUGUCGGGGUUGAGUUGAAUUCAAUUAAAUGUGGUGGUUGGUUAAUUGCAAAGUGGAGAUUGAUUAAUGACUUCAAUUACUUAGGUAUCAAAUAAUCCUCUACUCUAUCUACAUUUAUCCUUUUUGAGUUGAUUUUCUUUCUUUCUCUUGAUUAGUUUUCAGACUUUCAUCUUUUGAUUUCAGUUUGGAGCAUUGACGUUUAGGUAUCAUGUAAUUGUACAUGUCAUACUAUCAAUUUGGUUUGUGAAGUGUGUGAUUUGUCAGAUUGUCAUACCUCUGGAUUGAACGCAUUGUUAUGCAGUUGGAGAUGUGAAGUUCAAAUCUUUCUUAUUUUUUCUUCUUUAACCCCGACCAUACUUUCACUAGUUGCUUGUGUUUUGGUACCUCAAAUUAUUAUAUUAAUUGCCUUCCAUUCUAUCUGUCAUGUCAAAAGAUCUCAACUUUCCAGAAUAUUUGAUGAUUUCUAUUCCUGAUGUCUAUGAAUUCAAGAAUUGCAUGCUAUAUUCAUUCCUAUUAAUUGAAUGUCAUUCCUCUGUAGAUUCUGCUUUCAGUAGUCGUGUACCAGAGGGAUGUAUAAGAAUCAACUGCAGGAAUUUGCUCAGCGAAGCUGCAUUAACUUGCCAUCAUACUCCAGCAUACGGGAAGGACCGGACCACGCCCCCCGGUUCAAAGCCAAGGUGAACUGCAACGGAGAGAUUUUUGAGAGCCCAAAAUUCUGUUGUACUUUGAGACAAGCUGAACAUGCAGCAGCUGAGGUUGCACUAAAAAUGCUGUCACAAAGAGGCCCAUCAAGAGCUGUAGCUGCAAAAGUUCUGGUAUUUCACAACUUUGUGAUCAUUUCCACCCUUCAUGUCUAUCUUUGUUGUGUUGAGAAUGUCUUGGCCAUGCAUUUGUGCCAUAUAGCAAAUAGCUGUGUUGGAUUGAAAAUAGAACUUUUUAUGUUACCAUAUAUAAAUCUCUCUGAUCUUAUGUUCUGUUAAGUCAUGGAUAUGCACAAUGUUGACAGUUGAGCAUAUGUAUCAUAUUUACUUAUCUGCAUUAUUGAAUCUCACUCAAAUUCACGGACUAUUGUUUUAAUUAGUAAAAAUCCAAUAAUUUGUUAUAGUGACACUCUGUAGUGCACAUAAAAUACAUGGUAGGCAUAAGUAUGUUAACAAAUUGUCUGUUUCAUAUUCCUUUUUAUGUUGUUCAGUGACUAUAAACCUCCACUUAGAUGUAGCUCGCAGAAAUUAAUAGUUGUGGAUACACUUUUUCCAUAAGAUUUGUGAAUAUUUUGCUAAUUAAAUCUUCUGUCAGUCUCUCUUUUUAUUUAUUUUCUGGUAGAAUAUGUGUUUGUGUGUGUGUCAAAAAACUUGUUUUAUGAGUAUGUCAAAUUUUGUGAGUCCUAUCUUAUGACUGAAUGAGUUUAAGUUUGGUAUAAAGAAAUUCCUGUAAUGUUGUACUUGAAUGAUAACGGUCUCUGUUUUGACCUGUAAUUUGGCUGAUUUCUAGACUUGUGAUAUAAUGAUUUCUUGAGUCUGUUUUGUUAUUUUUCGGUGUACUUAUUCCAACCUCAUGAGAUAUGUAAGUCUUCUCAAUACCCAAAAUGAAAGCUUUAACUGCAGUAUAUAUGAUCUGUUCUGUAAUUUGUGUUUGGAUUCAAUGAUGCAUGUAUUGACUGUGUGCCAUUUUGGUUUUCAACCCAAUGCAGGAUGAAACUGGUGUUUACAAGAAUUUACUUCAGGAAACAGCUCAUAGAGCAGGAAUGAAGCUUCCAGUCUAUACUACUGUCCGGACUGGACCAGGAUAUGCUCCUGUAUUUACCUGCACAGUUGAACUUUCUGGGAUGAGUUUUUCUGGGGAGCCAGCCAAAACCAAAAAACAAGCUCAAAAGAGUGCCGCAAUGGCUGCUUGGUUUUCCUUGAAAGAGAGUAUGUAUCAGCUCUUGGUCUUACAAGUAGUACAAUAUUAUAUGUUAACUCUGCAAAUAUUUUUGAAUUCUGGUUCUCUCAGCCCAAAAAUGAUUAAAAAAAAAAUCAGAACUUUUGAUGGAGAAAAUUACUCUUAAGUGCAAGGCUGACAAAUUAUCCUUGGAGUAUUUAAUCUUGUGCUGUCAUGUUUGGGUGGUUUCAAUUUCAUUUGAGUGUUUAGGUUUAGCUUUAGCUUCCCUUUUUAUCUAUUAGCUGCUGAUCUUUUCAGCAAAGACAUUCAUAACCUCAUGACUCUUGCCUUCACUGAACUUCGAGAUGUCUUUUGUAGUGUCACACAUAUGCUCUUCCUCCUACCACUUAUCAGAUCUUGGCAGAAAGGAUGAGCAAGAACAAGUAAUUGUUGCUCGUUAUCUUUCUAGUUUAAGGUUACCAGAAAUGAGCAUAUCCGGACAGGGAGAAAAGGGCAAACUACGGAAAGAAAUAUUUCGAGUUAAAGGGAAUGUAAUUCCAUGUGGUGUUGGCAGUCCAUCCUUCAGAAUGAAGCAUCAGAAUUCCACCUAUUCUUAUCUUCCCCCAGAGUGGUUCUUGUACGAGACCUGCCAUCGAGGAGUUCCUCAGCAGAGUCACUUCUUGGCUCUUCCUUCUACUUCUACUUCUAUCCCAAGACCCAGAUUUUUUCCAUUCAUUCAAUCUAUGAUGCUUAGGCCAGAUAUUGGUUCAAUCUUUUGGGCAAGGGAACAAGAACCUAUUGCUGCUGUACCAGAACCUAGGCCUCUUUUCUAUUUGUCCAACAAUUUGUUGCCAGUUCCAGAUAGGAAUGAUUCCCGUGUUACCAUAGAAGAGAUAGAAGAAAACAGCCCAAUGCAAGAAGAGUGGCUAAAUAAGGAUGUUAACCCCUCUUGCUGGAGGGACAAUUUCCUAUCCAGUGCAUCUGGGAUUCCCACACUAGAUGUUUCAAAUCAUCCUCAAUCUCAACAUUCCAGUUUAGAAGAAGAGUUGCUACAAAAAGAAACUGGAGAGAGGCAGGUGCAGUCUACCAAUGGAACGAGCAAAUCCAUCUGGCCAAUUAAGCCAAAUAAAGAAUUCAGUUGGUUACCACCUGGAUUUAUGUGCAACAGACAGAGUGUUACAGAAGCAGGAGAAGCCUGGUUGCAACCCCAGAACAUAAAGAGUCCAGGCUUUUUGUGGUCUGAUGUUCAACAUCUGCACUCUAAGGUGGCUUCUUGUCCAAAAGACACAAGGCAUUCAGCAGGCCUUACAACUGUUUCUGGUGUGACAGGACGAAAUGGUGGUGCAUUUUCCUCUGCCAGCUUCCGACCCGUAGUUUCAAAUCGAUCUCUACCUGUUUCAACACCCAGGAAUGCAGUUUUCACCGGUUCAACCAGACCUCGCGUAGAAUGCAAGAUGAAGCACUCCCAUCCAAAGCCUUGUGCCAGUCAAAUGGCACCAGCAGUUCAAAUUCGAACAGUAAUGCCAGUACGUUCAUCUCCUACAAGGAGAAUGCCAUCUCCUAGCCAGGAAGGGACUUCCUCGGAGGGUGAGAUAAAGAGCGCUGAAGUAACGGGGAAGGACAUCUCAACUGCAAGCUCAGAAUUUUGUAGACUUCAGAUAUGAGCAGUGUACACAUUUUGAAAUCUUGUUAAAAGGCAAGUCCUCCGGAAAUUGCAGGACUCCUGUACCCUGCAUAUAGUGAUAGCGUGAAAUGAAAAAAUGAGUAGAGAAUAAAAGAAUUGAUAUAAAUUCAACUAUUGCUUGUGGUUGAGCUAUCAACAGCUUUUUCUGUUUGUUCCAUAUAGUGAUCAGUUGUUUAGCUGGUGGCUUAGUUUAGCUAAAGUUAGUAUAGUGCCAAGUGUCAUGUGUGUUCUUUUCUAGUUGAGGCUGGCUUAAGAAGGUACAAAUCUCCUGAAGUAAAUAUAGAGCAGAUUAAAUUUUCUUUAGAUGUUUACAAAUGAUACUUUUCUGGGGAGGAGAAAUUGGUCCUGAUUAGAAGAUAAUUGGGAGAUUGAAAGUCUUACUGUCCUUUAGGCAUUGAGUUUAGGAAGCUUCUGAGCACGGUUGAUUAGGUAAACAUUUUUUUAAAAAAAAAAAAAUUAGGAAGGUAUUUUUGUGUGAAAAAUAGAAUAUGGUCUUGGAUUUUGGCCUCUAAGAUUCAAGUCCCAAGCUUUUUCAGAAUCCAUUUGAUCAUUGAACUCUGUAGCCGCUCCCAGCCCGCAGUAGGGAUUAGUUGGACCGUACGGUAUUACCAGUCCAUGGGCCCAGAUACCCUACUGUGCAAAAAAAAAAAAAAAAAAAUUAGACCACUGUCCAAAUGUCCCAAAGAAAAGCAAUAAAUGGCUAACAACAAAAUGUCCAAUAAUAACUAAAGCAAAAAAAUUUCUUGGCAAGAAAAGAAAUUCUGCAAGGAAAUUCCUGUGUAUAUACCACUUAUUUCUCUCCUAUCGUAUAUACCUCAGGGCCAACCAUGGACGUUCAGAUUAAAAUAGUCGACUCAAGUUGCUUUUCAAUCUGGGGUGUCAAUUGAUCACAUUUUUGUGUUAAAAUUAAGAAUUAAUCAAAAGCAAAAUAGCCUAAGAAGGAAAAAAAAAAAAGAAUACAUUUAGGGACUAAAACACGAGAUUAAAGGUUCCUGCACUAACAAUCGUAUAUAAGGAGUCUAAUCAAAUUGAAAUUAAUUGGUAUGCAUCCAAACUCACUAAUUUAUACAUCAUCAACGUAUGAAAGAUAAAUACAAGAGGAAAGGCUCAGUAAUUUUUGUAUCUAAAUGUAUGUUUAUGUUUUCAUAUAAAGCAACGAAUCUUGUGAAGUUAAAGUCGUUAAAUAUGGUUCAAACUUGAUUCGGGUAAUGAUCAACUCCCUAUCGAAUGCCUCUAACUUGGUUGAAAAUUCAACCUGCAACAAAAUCAUAAGCGAUUUGUUCUAGACCAGUUUACACACUUCUACAUUUUCCAGAGACACUACCAGUGACCAGCUGUGUCCACUUUUCACUUACUCAACCGUUGAUCUCAAUGACAAAAAUUGCACCUUUGCUUGACGUAACACAAAACUCUAGCUUGUAAUUGCACGCACACACAGAUUUCCACUCUUUCCUUCUUCUUCUCAUGACAAUUUUCUCCGAAGAAUUAUCAUAAAAUAUCAUCCAGAAAUACAAUGAAUUCAUCAGCCAGUCUUCAAAAUUCGCUUCCCGAUGAUAUUGCCCUCAAAAUUGCUUUGUCGCUUCAGGUUCUUUUUCUUUUUUAAUUUAUCUGAGCUGGUAUUUCUUGAGUUGGAUAAUCCCAUCUACUUCUUUAAAAUGGGUUUUCUAAAAGAUUGAAUCUUUUUUUUGUUUUGGAUGUGAAGGUAUCAGAUGUUUGUUCACUGGGCAGUUGCUCAAGGUUCUGGCGCGAGCUAUGUGGGUCUGAUCAUGUCUGGGAGGCUCUGUACAGAGAUAGAUGGCCUGCAAUUGAUUUAGGUGAGGAAUCUUCAGCUGAUGAGAACGGAAAUCAUCAUCUUCAUCAACAGUUGGACCUCAAUUUAAUGGUCAAUUCUCACUCUUUUUGCCUCUGAAUUGAAAUUUGUGCAUAAUCAUGACUUUGUUGCAAUAAAUACCAAAAUAAUAGGUUCAGUUGGGGAUGCAGUGAAUCAUUUUUGAUCAACUGUUUUUGUUGCUAUGACAUCGUUUUUAUGUGGAAGACAAGUUUUGUGGGAAAGAAAAAGAGAACUUAACAACACAGGGAAAAAGAAAAAAGUGAAGGCGAAAAAUCCUUUUGCUUUUUCUGCGUAAUCAAAUUGAUGCUGGGUUUUAAGUAUUUUCUGGUGGAAUUGAUGUUAAUGGAUUCAAAAUUUUUAUGUUUGAUUUGACUCUGAAAGAUUAGUUACAGAUUAUGGUAGUCACUAGUGGUGGGAUUGAUCUUAUUGGGUUGAAUAUUUUUAUGUUUGGGUUGGUUUUGUAAUCUCGUAAGGACUCUGUCGAGAAAUUGAGAUGUGAAGUGUGAUUCAAAUGGAUAGCAUGCUCCGUCUGAUUCAAAUCCUAUUUUUAGUGCCCCUAUUUGUUGUCCUUUAUGCAUGAUUGAAUGUACUUGCUUUAGGGAUGGAGGGGGUUGUACGCACAUAAGCACAAUGAGAUGGCACGGAAAGCUGCCUCUAUAUUUAAUUAUGUGGAAAGAUGUUUAGCAUUUGAAGCAAUUGAGGUUGGAUAUUACUUAAAAGCAGUUGAAGACCUAUCUGCAAUGCAGUUUGGAUUUAAGGACGUCCAGAUGUUUUUUCUCAGACCAAACAUCAAUGUGCUUUUCAACUUGAUUGGCUUGCAUUAUUGCUUCAGUAAGCUUGACUUGCCGGUAAGUACUAUAUUUGACCUGCCCGUAUCUAUCUUUGGUUGUUAUUAAUCCUUUGCAAAUUGAAAUCCAUUAUCUGUACAAUGUGUGAAGUUCCUCACCUGUAUCGACUGGCAAAAGUCUUCAACCAUAUAUUAUGUCAGUUAGCACAUGCAACUUAAAGCUAAAAAGGGAAGUAUAUUUUAGUGUGAUCAUGAAGUGUACUGAAUUGUCUAAGCAGAUUAAACUGUUUGUUGAGAUUGAGCUUUUUCACAUUGUAUUUUGUGAAGUAAAUAAAACAUCAGAUGUUUAAUUCUCCACCUUUGUCAAAAAACUAGCUACGAUACCUUGAGAUAGGCUUUUGAAAAACCUAUGCAGACUCAGGUGUGAGCUUUGAAUCUGAUCCUUAGCAGAAUCACAUCCUUGGUUUCGCAGUCAUAAAUUGUGAGAAUUCAUUCAAAUGCCCACUUUAGUUUUAGUAUGAGGGCAAAAGAUGCUCCCCAAAGCAUAAGAAGUUUGUUCUGAAUUGUCCUUUCUGAUUCCACAGCCCUAGUCUUAUAUUGCGGCUAGCAAGUUCCUGGCUUGUUAGCAACAUGUUAUACUAUCCAAAGUGUGUAAUGAAUCACUCUGUAUCAGCCGGGUCUUUUGAUGUCUUAUCAUUGUUACUUCUAGGCUGAGUGUGUUGCAGAAGCACUAAGCAUGUGCAGGAUUUCAGAAAGGCAAGUAUGUGUCAGAUGGUGGAAGCUUGGUAGAUGGUUCUAUGGCUUUCGCCUGAGGGAUGAAUCACUUUCUCGUAAUGUUACUUUAGGAGAUCUUGCAACAUCCAAAGAAGAAGAAGUUCUCGGGGUGCUUCAUCGAGGUGCAAUUCAUGAGGUAUUGCGUGUUCAGAUCUCGGCUGCAAAACCUGAAUGCACUCCCUGGUAAUUCCAAAGUGCAGAAAGUGGGAAAGAUUGAGCACAACAAAUGCUUACAUCUUUUAUAGUAUUUCUUUGCUGGUGCCCAUGUGACAAUAUUUGUGAUGAAGACUGCAUUGUUUCAUAGUUGUGGAAGAGAAAGUUCCAGUUAAGGGGAUCUUAGUAUUACCACUCCCUCUUUGAGCCAUGUUUGCCAGGAAUUUAUAGCUGUGCCAGGAGAGCUACUGCCUUUAGUUAUGAAUAUAUAUUUUGUACAAAAUCCAACAGAAGCAGGAAUAAAUUUGUUCUGGCUCCACCUAGAUGUAGCUGAGGAAGAUAUCCAAGGUCCAAAUUCUGAUGCUGAACCCACAUCCACGCUUAACAAGCAUGAAGUGCUUAGAGUUGGACGAUGUAAAGGCUCUUCCCAUGUUUCUGCCUGUAAAUAGUUGUUGAAUGGUGUCACCUGAUAAUAAAGAAGAAAUUAUGUCUCUUUGAGAAGAUUUUUCCAAAAAUGUGGGACCAUUGGUCCAAUGCCACAAGAGUACUACAGUGAAAGAAAUUUCAACUUAUCUGUUCAUCUAAUUGUGCUUGCAUGUCAACUGCAGAAGAAAAGGUGGGCAACAUGUUUACUGUCUUUGUUACUUAGAAGUUGGUUCUCCACAUAUGUUUACAUUUGCAUUUCACAUCUGUAUGUUUUUAGCCAAUCCAUGCAAAGCGAAUUUCACUUACAUUUGAGCAUGAUAGCAGAAUUAACCUGAUUGCUUGGUCUUUAUCUAUGCAUAGUCAUAAGCGUGUCGAUCUUGAAAGAUGUUGAUAUUCAUAGUUUAAAAUGACCUCUAAAUUAAGCUAAUGAAGAUAAGAGAAAGAAGCUAACUGGUUUGAUGUAUUGAAUUGUGUUGGAAAUUGCAUGAAAUGUGGUAGUUUCUCUUCCUGCAAAACUAUAGAUAUUUCGCUUCCAUCCAUUAGCAAAUUCCUUCUAAUUUUGAGCAUCUCCUCUAAAUUAUAUCAGUUCAUGAUGCGCUAAAUAUGCCUCCAAGGACGCAUUCUACUUGGAACAAUUGCACAACUUGAUUGAAACUUAACCGCUAUCAUUCAUUGGUUCAAAGUCAAGCUUAAAUAGGAAAUACACUUCCAAGUAAACAGUAAAUAUAAGCACUCUCAAAAUUCGUUAGCUUAGCAUCACUUUUACAGCACUUUCAGAUCACGAAUAGAGUAGGAUCAUCAUCUUAAAUUUGCAUUACCAGUAUUGGUCCCGGACGCAAAUCAAAUUAUUGUAGCAAAGUGAUGAAAAACCACGGCAGGAAAGAACUUUAUACCCAGUGGCGACUAUUGAGAUGAGCGAGUCAGGAGCAAUGAUAAACAUAGAUGAUCCGUCGUCCGGAGGUGGAAUGCAGCUGGCCAUCUGCAGAAGAGCUAGGACAAGCACCAAGAGGAGUCCUUUCACAUCUGUCUGCUGAACAACAGCAAUUUCCCAUGAAGACAUAGGCAACAUGAAAUUUCUGACCCUUUUAGUUCAGCUGAGAGAGAUUAACUAUGAGGGCACAUCCUAUUUUGCUAGCUAACCUAGGAAUAUGGAUUUGCGUACUGUUUGGUAACUGGCUGAAUGAAUAAGUUAGACUAAUCCCAGGAAUGAAUUGAAUAAAUUUUACAAUAACUACCAGCCGCCAUGAACCAAUUGCUUGAAUGCCACAAGGGUCGUUCCUUCCUGCAUAUGCUGCCUCUCUCUUCCUGGUAUAGCACUUAUAACAAGUUAUAUAUUCUAUCCUAAAGUUACAAAUGCGUAAAUUGACUUCCUCACACUUAUUUCCAUGUUGCUCCAAAAAUUGUUUAGUUUCUUGCAUACAGCAGUACUUGCAAAUGACUUAUCACAUUCCCUGUCAGACAAAAGAACGUAGCCUUGGAUGGAUAACGUUCACAGUGAUCUCCCUAAUAUGAACGUCCACUAAAAUGAGCAAAAAGAAUUCGAGAGAGGGGUUGGAAUGGCAACAUAACACUGUAGAACUGCAUUCGUUGAUUUUAUUCCUCAUUGAACAAAUUCAAGUCUGUUGAUGUCAAAUUUUAGAUAUGGUUUCCACAUACGAGUUUCUGUGGUAAAGAUAAAUGAGAACAAACAACUUGAUCUCAAUACAACUCUUUCUGUCAAAUAUUUAUAGACAUAUAUAUACCUGCAAACAUGCUGAAAUGUUCCAAAUAAAAUAUACUAAAACCACCAAAAGAGCAUCACUUUUUCU